rnacentral:misc_RNA from 1 species
CACGGGUUUUACUUUCCCCAUGACUUUCCCCAACUCUUAACUACAGUCAGUUGCCUCGUGCCCUCGUGAUAAGAUUACAAAAACAAAAAUAAUGAAUUGUUCUGAAAUUGAUCAAGCUGCCGAAGCUGCUAAUGUGAGUGGAAUGCUAGCCGAAUUUGAUGAGGGACAAGAUUACUUGGAGACCUUGAUUGAAGAAGUAGCAGCUAUAAUAAAAGUAGACAAACGUUUUUGGAAGAUACGAGCAAUGUUGUCUGAGUUGCGCAAAGCAUUUGAUUCCAUCCAGAAACCUAAUAGUGAAUGUCUGGAAGAACAACUACAUUUUGAAAAGAAGUUGAUUUACUACUUGAGAGAAGAAACCACUGAAUCAACAACGAUUGAUGCAGUCUGCACAUGGAUUGAGAUUGAAGUUUCCAAAUCCAAGGUUUCUCUUCCUGCCUUGGUUUCUGCAGUGAUGCUCAGCUCUUUUGAAAUAAGCACGGAGGUCUUCAGGAUGAGCAAAGAUACUUCACUGAAGUUGAUGUAGCUGCCAGCCAGAUUCUGAUCUUUUUCAUCCAGGAUUUUCUCAGUUCAUCCCAUCAAAAAAAUACCAAAGCAUUGCUAUUUGAAAUCCUUUAUAUCCUGGUUGAAGAUGAGAAGUUUUUUUCUUUUUUUGCUGGAGAAAACAGAAAAAGUGGUAUGAUGUACUUACUGUGUUGCCUUCCUGAAAUUUCUAAAAGACAAGCUUAAUCCCAUUCGCAGAGAUCUUUGUCAGGCCAUGGUCAGGCUUAUGAUUGUUCCCUCCAUUAACAUUAAUUUCAAAUUUCAGUUUGUGAAACCGUAGUUCCCGUGGCUUACAUUGUUUCGGUUUUAAAUAAAGUUAUUGUCUAUCUAAAAUUUAAA